GCAGCUCAGCUAAUAGAGCAUGAGGACUCUUAGUCUCAUGGUUGUGGGUUCAAGCCCCAUGCUGAGCA